rnacentral:rRNA from 1 species
AUUGAACGCUGGCGGCAGGCUUAACACAUGCAAGUCGAGCGGAAACGAUACUAGCUUGCUAGUAGGCGUCGAGCGGCGGACGGGUGAGUAAUACUUAGGAAUCUACCUAGUAGUGGGGGAUAGCACGGGGAAACUCGUAUUAAUACCGCAUACGACCUACGGGAGAAAGGGGGCAACUUGUUGCUCUCGCUAUUAGAUGAGCCUAAGUCGGAUUAGCUAGAUGGUGGGGUAAAGGCCUACCAUGGCGACGAUCUGUAGCUGGUCUGAGAGGAUGAUCAGCCACACCGGGACUGAGACACGGCCCGGACUCCUACGGGAGGCAGCAGUGGGGAAUAUUGGACAAUGGGGGCAACCCUGAUCCAGCCAUGCCGCGUGUGUGAAGAAGGCCUUUUGGUUGUAAAGCACUUUAAGCAGUGAAGAAGACCAUAUGGUUAAUACCCAUAUGCGAUGACAUUAGCUGCAGAAUAAGCACCGGCUAACUCUGUGCCAGCAGCCGCGGUAAUACAGAGGGUGCAAGCGUUAAUCGGAAUUACUGGGCGUAAAGGGAGCGUAGGUGGCUCGAUAAGUCAGAUGUGAAAUCCCCGGGCUCAACCUGGGAACUGCAUCUGAUACUGUCGUGCUAGAGUAUGUGAGAGGAAGGUAGAAUUCCAGGUGUAGCGGUGAAAUGCGUAGAGAUCUGGAGGAAUACCGAUGGCGAAGGCAGCCUUCUGGCAUAAUACUGACACUGAGGCUCGAAAGCGUGGGUAGCAAACAGG